UACAGGGGGUGCAAACGUUGCUCGGAAUCAUUGGGCGUAAAGCGCACGUAGGCGGUUCGUUAUGUCGGAUGUGAAAACCCGGAGCUCAACUCCGGGCCUGCAGUCGAUACGGGCAGACUGGAGUUCGGCAGGGGAGACUGGAAUUCCUGGUGUAGCGGUGAAAUGCGCAGAUAUCAGGAGGAACACCGGUGGCGAAAGCGGCUCACUGGACCACAACUGACGCUGAGGCGCGAAAGCUAGGGGAGCAAACAGG
rnacentral:rRNA from 1 species